UAUAGACCUUAGUGGUCCCCUAAUACUGAAUCUGAAGUCUCUUUUAUAUAGACCUUAGUGGUCCCCUAAUACUGUAUCUGAAGUCUCUUUUAUAUAGACCUUAGUGGUCCCCUAAUACUGCAUCUGAAGUCUCUUUUAUAUAGACCUUAGUGGUCCCCUAAUACUGUAUCUGAAGUCUCUUAUAUAUAGAGCUUAGUGGUCCCCUAAUACUGUAUCUGAAGUUUAUUUCCCAGAAUUCAGCCUUUGUGCAGACUUACAGCCACUAGAGCCAGUCCCACAAUGAGCUUUCCUUAGGAUGUGCCAUUUCUUAAUGGUUAAGAAAGGUGAUUGA